rnacentral:ncRNA from 1 species
AGAAUAAAGCGCCAGAACUUAAGUAAGUAUUGCCAAAUCAUAGAUUUGGAAGUUCGUUUAAGUUGACGAGGUUGGGGAGUAUCGAAUACUUCGGCGGGUGCCCCACGGUAUCGCACUACCGUAAACGGCUGACAAAGCUAUGGAGUGAUCUAUAGUACAAAUUCAG